AGAGUGUUUCUCCACUUGAUAAUGUAAAAAUCUCAUCACUACCUAUAGAUAUGUAAAAACACCUUAAAAACUUACACAAGUUUAAAUAAGGUCUGUUGAAGUAGUGGAGGUGAAGCACAGAAGAGUUUGAGAAUACAAGCCAUAGUCACCAUCUUAUCUUCCUGGUGAUCAUGUCCUGUGGCUGGUAUCAGUAAGCACUCUAGAUAAGCAACAGUGACUAGGAAUGCACUCCACACACACUCUUAGUUGCUGUCUUUUCCUUGAUGGUGUCUGUGUGUGUGUGUGUAUUUGUGUGUGUUUGCAGUGUCACAGUGAUUGGUCAUGUUGGGUUUGUGAGGUGUUGUAAUGUAACAGUACUGUUAUCAGUGAGGUGUGGUAAUGUUAUCAGAUGUGGUAAUGUUGCCAGACAGAUGCAGCAUUGUCAUCAUUAGCACAAACCAGCCAUAUCUUCCUUUAUCUCUUCAAUACCAUGAUGUGUUCUCAUAUUCAUUCUGUUUACUAUUUGGUUAGAAAAGUGAGGGAGGAAGAAAGAGGAAGAGGAUGACAGGACGGGGAGGCAGAGGAAGAGCAAGAGGACGAGGGCAACAGCAACAACAACAACAACAACAACAACAACAACAACAACAACAACAACAACAACAACCUACAACCUUUCCAUAUUACCCAAACCAGGAUGAAAUAUCUGCCUAUCUAUCAAGCCUACAGCUGCAGGAAGAGAAGAGACCAGUGCUGGAA